CAAAUGGUUCUAGUCCUUUUUCUUUCAUCAAAAUGUAUUGAGCAGCUACUAUGUGCCCGUUCUGUUGUAGGUUACUCUCAAGACCCCUUUGCUCUGGAGGCCUGGCCUCUGAGACUUAGGACCUGUCCGUGUAAAGUCAGGAUCCUAAAGUGGAAGUUCGGAUAAUUAAUUCAAGACUCCAUGAAGUGUACGAGUGAAGAUCAUCUCUUUCGGGCCCUGCUGCGGACACUAGUGCAGUGAGCAGACGCCUUCUCAGUUCCGCAGCCACCCUCUGAGCUGUCUGAUUCCUUCACGUGGACCUGGGUUUCCACACAAGCAACAAGGAAGGCAGAGCCACACACUGCCGAUAAAAAGAUCACACAGGACCCUCACCCUCUGAGAUGCCGUCUGCCCGGACACACUGCUUGCUGGAUAUGAGGAGCUGCGGGUCCCCAGAGAUGACACAGGAUCCUCACCCUCUGAGAUACCAUCUGCCCGGACACAAUGCUCGCUGGAUAUGAGGAACUCUGGGUCCCCAGAGAUCACACAGGAUCCUCACCUCUGCGUCCCCAGAGAUCAUGGGGGAUCCUCAUCCUCUGAGACACCAUCUUCCCGGACAUGCUGCUCGGUGGAUGUGAGCCUGCGGGUUCCUGGUUUCUGCCCAGCUGACAUGUGAUGGUUCUCAGCGAGCCUGCUCGGGCACUGUAGACUGGGUGCCUCAUCCUCCAGCGGCUGUUAUGUGGCCAUGGGUGGGUCACAACCACGCAUGUUCCCGGUGUGAUGAGCCCAUGGGUGGGCUGCUCCCUGCCCACACCCGGCUGGCCCAGGCCGUCGUCUUGCCCUGAGGACUGGCCCUGUGGUGUCCUGAGUGGCAGGGCUAAGGGCUCUGCUUCUUCCUAUGCUGAGGUGGCCACCCCGUGACGGGUUCUGUCUGCAGCGCACACCCUCCACGAGGCACCUGCCCCCCAGCCCCUGCCUCAGGCCCUGCUUCCCAGAGCCCAGCCUAAGAUAUUGGUGGCCAGGACAGCAAGGACCUGAGACACAGUGCCAGCCACAGCAGCACUCCUGCCUGACUGGGGUCUGGAUGUUCUGGGAGGCCCCUUGUCUCAGGCUCCCCCAGACCUUUCUCAACAAAUGAAGCUUCAACCUCUGGUGUGCAAGGUGAUGGUUAGGCAGCCUGGUCUCACAGCUGCUGGACUCCCUGGAUCACUGUGGCCUCAGUGUGGACAGUGGAGCCUCACGACCCUCUCUGUUUUUCUUUGCUUUUGUCGGGUGUGGGUGUGAGAUGGCCCAGACUUGGGCCACAGCCACAAGCUUCUGCGACUCACACAACUCAAGAGCACUGCAGCGGGGUCUCACCACAGAAGCCGUCUGGGAAUGCGCUUGACUUGGGGUGUGUGCGUGUUUUUCCAUUUUGAAGAAUAAGGUCGAUUUUAAAAUUUUCUGACACUUUCUCACUUUGCCGAUUUUUGAUGGCAAAAUUUUAGUCUCCAGCCUCUCCCUUCCACUUCAGAAGCUUGUGUGUCGCUUGUCUCAGCUGUUAGUGGAUAUGGGUUCUGAGAAUGGUAAUUAAUUUUAACAAUAGCUUAAGUAAGCCAGACAUUAAUCAUAAUUGGCAAAGGAAAUAUGCUAUAAAGUAUUAUAUAAUCUAAGAUCAAACAGGAGCAAUUUUUGCAUAAUUUGUUAUUUUGUACUGCCCGUGUUAUCAUUAGCACAGUGAUUAAGAAUUAACUGAAAUUAUUCAAAUUACCAGAAAUAAUUCAAUUAUCGAUAAUUGUAUAUCAAUGUAUAAUAACAUAUACAACCAAACACUUAGGUGAUUUGCUCAGGAUAAGUUUCACAACUUUUUUUCCAGCAAAAUGUCUUUGACUCACAGUUGAAUUCUCAGUACUUCCAUCAAUUAAAUGGAAAAGUAAAUUAAUUGUAGUGUGGGAAUCUCUGGGAGUAUUUCUUGCUUUUUCUCUUUUACUAGUGUACUUGUUCUUCAGUAAAUAGAUUGGAUAGUUUGUUACUCCCAGAGAAAGACACUAACCACCAAUAGACAGGAAAAUGUACCUCUGGUUUACCAAACUUAGUCACUGUCACAUUACAGAGUUAAUUCUAUAAUGUUGUGAAAAACACCUGUGUCAUGAAAAUGUUAAUGAUCUCUUGACUGCAUAGAUGAGUUGCGUUCCGGAGUCUUAAGUUGCUUUCUAAAUACUAAUUAAUUAAACCCAAGCUUUCUGUGUCAGGGGAUUACUCACUUUUGUCCUUUCUUUACUCUACCCAAGCUGAAUUUCUGAUAAUAUGGUAAGACAAGAAUGAGACAUAACCCAAAACAUAAGCUGCCAGCCACAGCUCUAUGUGGAAAUUGCAGCUUAGGAAGAUUUUGCCACAAUGAGAUGGUAACCCCUGCUUCCCCCGGCCAUACAGAGGAUUGAAGAUGUAAGUACCUGGGGGACGCCAGCCGCAGUGUUUUACAACCUACUAUUCCAGUAGCUUUGGAAAAGGAAAAAAAAAAAGUCACAGAAUUGGGGCACACAGGGGAGAGUGCAGCAUGAACAAUUUUCCAUUAAUCUGAUAAAGAGGGAGGUAGUCCAGGUGCGGCUCUGAGAUGCAUUUCUGCAGGGGAACCAUUCCCUGAGAGCUUUGUGUUUCCUUCCUGUUAGUGAUCUCAUGAAUAAAUAAACUCUCUGCCUGGCACUGA